GGACCGUGGCCUUUCCGAUUCGUCGGCUUGGCCUAGGGAAGUCUUGUGAACCUUAUCACUUAAAGGAAGGAGAAGUCGUAACAAGGUUUCCGUAGGUGAACCUGCGGAAGGAUCAUUC
rnacentral:rRNA from 1 species